rnacentral:rRNA from 1 species
UACGAAGGGGGCUAGCGUUGUUCGGAAUCACUGGGUGUAAAGGGCGCGUAGGCGGCUGUUCAAGUCGGGGGUGAAAGCCUGUGGCUCAACCACAGAAUUGCCUUCGAUACUGGACGGCUCGAGACCGGAAGAGGUCAGUGGAACUGCGAGUGUAGAGGUGAAAUUCGUAGAUAUUCGCAAGAACACCAGUGGCGAAGGCGGCUGACUGGUCCGGUUCUGACGCUGAGGCGCGAAAGCGUGGGGAGCAAACAGG